rnacentral:rRNA from 1 species
ACGUCUGAUCGGGAUUAUUGGGCGUAAGCGCAAGUAGGAGGCUCAGCGCGUCUGUUGUUAAAUACCUCUGCUCAACGGAGGAAUCGCAAUGGAUACGGCUGAACUAGAGGGUGUCAGAGGGUUAUAGAACGCACAGUGUAGGGGUGAAAUCCGUUGAUACUGUGCGGAAUACCAAAGGCGAAGGCAUUAACCUGGGACAUUCCUGACUCUGAGUUGCGAAAGCGUGGGGAGCAAAAAGGAUUAGAUACCCUUGUAGUCCACGCCCUAAACGAUGCCUACUAGCUGUCGGAAGUAUCGACCCUUUCGGUGGCGAAGCUAACGCGUUAAGUAGGCCGCCUGGGAAGUACGAUCGCAAGAUUAAAACUCAAAGGAAUAGACGGGGACUCGCACAAGCGGUGGAUUAUGUGGUUUAAUUCGACAACAAACGAGGAACCUUACCAGGGCUUGAAAUUUUGACGAAUGCUAGAAGAAACUUUAGCAGUCUUUUAUUUAUUUAAGGGACGUCAGAACAGGUGCUGCACGGUCGUCGUCAGCUCGUGGCGUGAGUUGUUCCAUUAAGUUGGUAGACGAGCGCAACCCCCGUUGCCAGUUAUAAGUGUCUGGCGAGACUGCCCUGUUUCACAGGGAGGAAGGUGGGGAUGACGUCAGAUCAGCGUGGCCCUUUGAUGCCCUGGGCUACACACAUAAUACAAUGGUCGGGACAAUGGGUUGCCAAGCCGUAAGGCGGAGCUAAUCUCACAAACCCGGCCCCAGUUCGGAUUGAGGGCUGAAACUCGCCCUCAUGAAGCCGGAAUCGCUAGUAAUCGCGGAUCAGCUAUGCCGCGGUGAAUACGUUCUCGAGUCCUGUACUCACCGCCCGUCACACCAAGGAAGUUGGUAGCGAGUAGAGCUUCGACAUUGUCGGGGUGAGCUCGAAAUCAAUAACAGGGGUGAAGUCGUAACAAGGUAAC